GUAAUCACAAUAUACUUAAGAAAUUACAAAGAAAUAAACAGUCAGAACAUUGAGGUGUCAUGAGGGUCCUCGCCGCUGUGUGAUGUGAUCAAGAAAUGGUUGCCAUAUCUGAUGAAAUCUAUUAGAUUUCCCUGAUAUCUUAAAUCGAAUUUUCUCCAUAUACAAGGUGCUUGAGAGCUCCGUGAGCCAGGCUUCAAAACUUGGAGGUAUCUCUUUGUUCCAGACUUUAAGAAUAAUUUUCUUAGCAAUGACCAUCCCAUACUGGAUUGACAAAACCUUCCAGUCUCUAAGAGUCUCGAGCUGUUGAGACCAGCCAAGAAUUCCUGUCUCUGAGUCUGGAGGAAGAUCAUAUCAUUAAACCUCAGAGUAAAAAUGGAAAACCUCACAUUAAAAUCUGUGGAGUUUAGUGCAGAACCAAAACAUAUGUGCCAGUGUGCCCUUGGACUGUUUGCAUUUUACUCAUAGUGGUGAAGAGGAUGAAAAAAAUGAAUGCAGUUUAACACGUGAAUAAUGGCGUCUAUGUAUAACCUUAUAUUGAAUUAGCUGGUGUCUUGAAUUAAUUGAACAUGUGUGUAUGCUACGAAGACAUUCACACCAUGCAUCUUCUGAGAUGACGGUGCCUAUUUCCCUCUCCCAGCACUCUCUCAGGUGUUGUGUACUUGGAGCAGUUUGAGCCACAAACACAUUUACAAACAUAGACACUAGCCUUUUGGACUCAGGUUCUUUUGUUAGAAGAGAAUAGACUUCGUCAGGGGAAUUAUAAAUUUCAAACUUUGAAAUGCUUACUCUAGCAUAGUUCCUGACUUGUAAAUACCUGAAAAAAUGAGAUGGUUGCAAUUCAAAUUUGUCUUAAAGUUGAUCAAAUGAGGAAAAAGCAUUGUCAAUAUACAAGUCUUUCACAGUGACCAGGCCUUUCCCUUUCCAGACAGAGAAAACAGGAUCCAAUUAAGAAGGAUGAAAUGUAUGAUUGUGACAAAUGGGGACAAAAAUAGAAGUGUUUGUUAGUUUAAAUAUUUUUUUUAAUUUGGCACCACACCCUUAAUGAGUUUUCUACUAUAAAUCCAAUCCCUUUAAAUGGUCCAGGGCUUCUCUGUUACCCCUUUUCCACCAAAGCUGGUGCUGGUUCUCAGUUGGUUCAACUUGCGCACCAGCUGAGAACCAAUUUGCUUUUCCACGGCUUGAGGUGGUUAGGGUGCCACGUCAUUGUGUCACUGUAUACGUCAGAUACGUCGAACAACAACAACAACGACGGCGGACCACGUACUUGUGCAGCUGUUACUCCUGGCUCUACGAGGCUUCAUCGGCGUUCCAAACACGGCAGAUACAUCGUAUUUGUGCUGCUUGACAAGAUUCGUAUGGACGGCAAUUAUGCUCCCGAAGACAGAGCUGGAUCAUGAAGCCCUUUGCGGACACUGGCAGAUUGAGCCCUGAGCAACACACAUAUAACUACAGAUUAAGCAGUGCACAGUCACUUGUGGAAAUGGCUUUUGGGAGAUUGAAAAGACGGUGGAGGUGCCUCCUAAAAACCUGCCAUUCAAAUGUUUGUUUUAUUUAGUUCUGGCUGUGUAUGAUACACAUGUUUUGGCUGCUACUCUCCAUUGUUUUUGCUGUUUUGUUGCUGCUUACCUGACUACUUUUACCUGUGUUUGCUGGACUACUUCAUGUCACCAAUAUUGUUUCAUCCUUCAGUUCAAUAAAUUCAUAGAAAUGA